CGAAUGCUGACAUAAGUAACGAUAAAGCGGGUGAAAAGCCCGCUCGCCGGAAGACCAAGGGUUCCUGUCCAACGUUAAUCGGGGCAGGGUGAGUCGACCCCUAAGGCGAGGCCGAAAGGCGUAGUCGAUGGGAAACAGGUUAAUAUUCCUGUACUUGGUGUUACUGCGAAGGGGGGACGGAGAAGGCUAUGUUGGCCGGGCGACGGUUGUCCCGGUUUAAGCGUGUAGGCUGGUUUUCCAGGCAAAUCCGGAAAAUCAAGGCUGAGGCGUGAUGACGAGGCACUACGGUGCUGAAGCAACAAAUGCCCUGCUUCCAGGAAAAGCCUCUAAGCAUCAGGUAACAUCAAAUCGUACCCCAAACCGACACAGGUGGUCAGGUAGAGAAUACCAAGGCGCUUGAGAGAACUCGGGUGAAGGAACUAGGCAAAAUGGUGCCGUAACUUCGGGAGAAGGCACGCUGAUAUGUAGGUGAAGCGACUUGCUCGUGGAGCUGAAAUCAGUCGAAGAUACCAGCUGGCUGCAACUGUUUAUUAAAAACACAGCACUGUGCAAACACGAAAGUGGACGUAUACGGUGUGACGCCUGCCCGGUGCCGGAAGGUUAAUUGAUGGGGUUAGCGGUAACGCGAAGCUCUUGAUCGAAGCCCCGGUAAACGGCGGCCGUAACUAUAACGGUCCUAAGGUAGCGAAAUUCCUUGUCGGGUAAGUUCCGACCUGCACGAAUGGCGUAAUGAUGGCCAGGCUGUCUCCACCCGAGACUCAGUGAAAUUGAACUCGCUGUGAAGAUGCAGUGUACCCGCGGCAAGACGGAAAGACCCCGUGAACCUUUACUAUAGCUUGACACUGAACAUUGAGCCUUGAUGUGUAGGAUAGGUGGGAGGCUUUGAAGUGUGGACGCCAGUCUGCAUGGAGCCGACCUUGAAAUACCACCCUUUAAUGUUUGAUGUUCUAACGUUGGCCCCUGAUCGGGGUUGCGGACAGUGUCUGGUGGGUAGUUUGACUGGGGCGGUCUCCUCCUAAAGAGUAACGGAGGAGCACGAAGGUUGGCUAAUCCUGGUCGGACAUCAGGAGGUUAGUGCAAUGGCAUAAGCCAGCUUGACUGCGAGCGUGACGGCGCGAGCAGGUGCGAAAGCAGGUCAUAGUGAUCCGGUGGUUCUGAAUGGAAGGGCCAUCGCUCAACGGAUAAAAGGUACUCCGGGGAUAACAGGCUGAUACCGCCCAAGAGUUCAUAUCGACGGCGGUGUUUGGCACCUCGAUGUCGGCUCAUCACAUCCUGGGGCUGAAGUAGGUCCCAAGGGUAUGGCUGUUCGCCAUUUAAAGUGGUACGCGAGCUGGGUUUAGAACGUCGUGAGACAGUUCGGUCCCUAUCUGCCGUGGGCGCUGGAGAACUGAGGGGGGCUGCUCCUAGUACGAGAGGACCGGAGUGGACGCAUCACUGGUGUUCGGGUUGUCAUGCCAAUGGCACUGCCCGGUAGCUAAAUGCGGAAGAGAUAAGUGCUGAAAGCAUCUAAGCACGAAACUUGCCCCGAGAUGAGUUCUCCCUGAGACUUUAAGUCUCCUGAAGGAACGUUGAAGACGACGACGUUGAUAGGCCGGGUGUGUAAGCGCAGCGAUGCGUUGAGCUAACCGGUACUAAUGAACCGUGAGG
rnacentral:rRNA from 1 species